rnacentral:rRNA from 1 species
UUGAACGCUGGCGGCAUGCUUUACACAUGCAAGUCGAACGGCAGCGCGGGGCAACCUGGCGGCGAGUGGCGAACGGGUGAGUAAUAUAUCGGAACGUACCCAAGAGUGGGGGAUAACGUAGCGAAAGUUACGCUAAUACCGCAUACGAUCUAUGGAUGAAAGUGGGGGAUCGCAAGAACCUCAUGCUCCUGGAGCGGCCGAUAUCUGAUUAGCUAGUUGGUGAGGUAAAGGCUCACCAAGGCGACGAUCAGUAGCUG